rnacentral:rRNA from 1 species
UGGGGAAUUUUGCGCAAUGGGGGAAACCCUGACGCAGCAACGCCGCGUGGAGGAUGAAGUAUCUUGGUACGUAAACUCCUUUCGAUGGGGAAGAUAAUGACGGUACCCAUAGAAGAAGCCCCGGCUAACUUCGUGCCAGCAGCCGCGGUAAUACGAGGGGGGCAAGCGUUGUUCGGAUUUAUUGGGCGUAAAGGGUGCGUAGGCGGUUUGAUAAGUCUUCUGUGAAAUCUAUGGGCUCAACCCAUAGUCUGCAUGAGAAACUGUCGGGCUUGAGUAUUGGAGAGGUGAGUGGAAUUUCCGGUGUAGCGGUGAAAUGCGUAGAUAUCGGAAGGAACACCUGUGGCGAAAGCGGCUCACUGGACAAUAACUGACGCUGAGGCACGAAAGCUAGGGGAGCAAACA